rnacentral:rRNA from 1 species
CGCUGAAGCCCCAGUUUGCUGGGGUGGAUGAGUGGCGAACGGGUGAGUAACACGUGAGUAACCUUCCCUUGACUCUGGGAUAAGCCCGGGAAACUGGGUCUAAUACCGGAUACGACCUCCUGCCGCAUGGUGUGGGGGUGGAAAGAUUUAUCGGUUUUGGAUGGACUCGCGGCCUAUCAGCUUGUUGGUGAGGUAAUGGCUCACCAAGGCUACGACGGGUAGCCGGCCUGAGAGGGUGACCGGCCACACUGGGACUGAGACACGGCCCAGACUCCUACGGGAGGCAGCAGUGGGGAAUAUUGCACAAUGGGCGCAAGCCUGAUGCAGCGACUCCGCGUGAGGGAUGACGGCCUUCGGGUUGUAAACCUCUUUCAGUAGGGAAGAAGCGAAAGUGACGGUACCUGCAGAAGAAGCGCCGGCUAACUACGUGCCAGCAGCCGCGGUAAUACGUAGGGCGCGAGCGUUAUCCGGAAUUAUUGGGCGUAAAGAGCUCGUAGGCGGUUUGUCGCGUCUGCCGUGAAAGUCCGGGGCUUAACCCCGGAUCUGCGGUGGGUACGGGCAGACUAGAGUGCAGUAGGGGAGACUGGAAUUCCUGGUGUAGCGGUGAAAUGCUCAGAUAUCAGGAGGAACACCGAUGGCGAAGGCAGGUCUCUGGGCUGUUACUGACGCUGAGGAGCGAAAGCAUGGGGAGCGAACAGGAUUAGAUACCCUGUGAGUCCAUGCCGUAAACGUUGGGCACUAGGUGUGGGGGACAUUCCACGUUCUUCCGCGCCGCAGCUAACGUAUUAAGUGCCCCGUCUGGGGAGUACGGCCGCAAGGCUACAACUCAAAGGAAUUGACGGGGGCCCACACAAGCGGCGGAGCAUGCGUAUUAAUUCGAUGCAACGCGAAGAACCUUACCAAGG